AUUGAACGCUGGCGGCAGGCUUAACACAUGCAAGUCGAGCGGGGGGAUGUAGCUUGCUCCAUCUCCUAGCGGCGGACGGGUGAGUAAUGCUUAGGAAUCUGCCUAUUAGUGGGGGACAACAUUCCGAAAGGAAUGCUAAUACCGCAUACGCCCUACGGGGGAAAGCAGGGGAUCUUCGGACCUUGCGCGAAUAGAUGGGCCUAAGUCGGAUUAGCUAGUUGGUGGGGUAAAGGCCUACCAAGGCGACGAUCUGUAGCUGGUCUGAGAGGAUGAUCCGCCACACCUGGACCUGGAACAGGGCCCGGACUCUUAGGGAGGCAGCAAGUGGGGAAAUUGGGACAAGGGGGCCAGCCUUGUCCAGGCAUGCCGGGGGGGGGAAGAAGGGCCUUUGGUUGGAAAGGACCUUACGCGAGGAGGAGGACCCUGUAGUUAAUAACUGAACGGAGUGGACGGUACUCGAAGAAGAAGCACCGGCUAACUACGUG
rnacentral:rRNA from 1 species